AGAGUUUGAUCCUGGCUCAGGAUGAACGCUAGCUACAGGCUUAACACAUGCAAGUCGAGGGGAAACGACAUCGAAAGCUUGCUUUUGAUGGGCGUCGACCGGCGCACGGGUGAGUAACGCGUAUCCAACCUGCCCAUCACUUGGGGAUAACCUUGCGAGAGUAAGACUAAUACCCAAUGACGUCUCUAGAAGACAUCUGAAAGAGAUUAAAGAUUUAUCGGUGAUGGAUGGGGAUGCGUCUGAUUAGCUUGUUGGCGGGGUAACGCCACAAGGCGACGAUCAGUAGGGUUCUGAGAGGAAGGUCCCCCANAUUGGAACUGAGACACGGUCCAAACUCCUACGGGAGCA
rnacentral:rRNA from 1 species